GCAGGAAGAACCCACACAGAAGUCAUGAUGUGCCCUUGACUAGAGUGGAAGACUCUGAAAGAUUCCACAUGUCCUGUUGAAGCACCUGUCUUCAGGAGAAGGGGAUGCACCCUCUGGCUUGUUGAAUCAUUUUUCUAAGCUUCUCCCUCUUCUAGAUCAUCAGAGUCCUUUCCAUUCCACAUGGGGAAAGCCAAAAAGGAUUACGGAGAAGGGAAGACCAGGAAGGAGAAAAGAUGCUCACAAUCACACCCCAGAAACAAAGCCCAGUUCCACAGUCACUCCUAACAGUAAGAAAAUUGGGGCAGAGAGAAGUGACUUGUCCUUUAUCACCAG